UCAAUUGCACUUAUCGGUGGAUGUCUUGGCUCUGGGAACGAUGAAGACCGCGGCCAGACGCGAUAGUCAAUGGGAAUUGCAGAAGCAUGAGACUCAUCAGGUCGUCGAACGCAUUAGCGGGCUGGGUUCGCCCAUGCCCAUCAGCAGUUGAG